AGUGAACGCUGGCGGCGUGCUUAACACAUGCAAGUCGAACGAGAACGGAAUAUAGCUUGCUAUAUUUGUCAGCUAAGUGGCGCACGGGUGAGUAAUGUAUAGAUAACCUGCCCUUAAGAAAGGAAUAACAGUUGGAAACGACUGCUAAUGCCCUAUAUGCCUUUAAUACAUAAGUAUGCAAGGGAAACGCUUUAGUGCUUAAGGAUGGGUCUGUAUGGUAUCAGCUUGUUGGUGAGGUAAUGGCUCACCAAGGCUAUGACGCCUAACUGGUUUGGGAGGAUGAUCAGUCACACUGGAACUGAGACACGGUCCAGACUCCUACGGGAGGCAGCAGUGGGGAAUAUUGCACAAUGGACGAAAGUCUGAUGCAGCAACGCCGCGUGGAGGAUGACUCAUUUCGGUGCGUAAACUCCUUUUAUAUAGGAAGAUAAUGACGGUACUAUAUGAAUAAGCACCGGCUAACUCCGUGCCAGCAGCCGCGGUAA
rnacentral:rRNA from 1 species